rnacentral:rRNA from 1 species
UACGUAGGGGGCUAGCGUUGUCCGGAUUUAUUGGGCGUAAAGAGCGUGUAGGCGGCCAGGUAGGUCUGCUGUGAAAACUCGAGGCUCAACCUCGAGACGUCGGCGGAAACCAUCUGGCUUGAGGCCGGUAGAGGUGGGUGGAACUCCUGGUGGAGUGGUGAAAUGCGUAGAGAUCAGGAAGAACACCCGUGGCGAAGGCGGCCCACUGGGCCGGACCUGACGCUGAGGCGCGAAGGCGUGGGGAGCAAAACGG